UGGGGGAUAUUGCACAAUGGGCGAAAGCCUGAUGCAGCGACGCCGCGUGAGGGAAGACGGUCUUCGGAUUGUAAACCUCUGUCUUCGGGGACGAAACAAGACGGUACCCGAGGAGGAAGCCACGGCUAACUACGUGCCAGCAGCCGCGGUAAUACGUAGGUGGCAAGCGUUGUCCGGAAUUACUGGGUGUAAAGGGAGCGUAGGCGGGGGCGCAAGUCCGUUGUUAAAACUAUCGGCUCAACCGGUAGCUGCGGCGGAAACUGUGUCUCUUGAGUGGAGUAGAGGCAGGCGGAAUUCCCAGUGUAGCGGUGAAAUGCGUAGAUAUUGGGAGGAACACCAGUGGCGAAGGCGGCCUGCUGGGCUCUAACUGACGCUGAGGCUCGAAAGUGUGGGGAGCAAACAGG
rnacentral:rRNA from 1 species